rnacentral:rRNA from 1 species
CCUACGGGAGGCUGCAGUGAGGAAUAUUGGUCAAUGGUCGGGAGACUGAACCAGCCAAGCCGCGUGAGGGAUGAAGGUACAGAGUAUCGUAAACCUCUUUUGUCAGGGAACAAAGGCGGGGACGCGUCCCCGGAUGAGUGUACCUGAAGAAAAAGCAUCGGCUAACUCCGUGCCAGCAGCCGCGGUAAUACGGAGGAUGCGAGCGUUAUCCGGAUUUAGUGGGUUUAAAGGGUGCGCAGGCGGUCUGUUAAGUCCGCGGUCAAAGCCCGGGGCUCAACCCCGGUCCGCCGUUGAAACUGGCAGUCUCGAGUUGGAGAGAAGUAGGCGGAAUGCGCGGUGUAGCGGUGAAAUGCAUAGAUAUCGCGCAGAACUCCGAUGGCGAAGGCAGCAUGCCGGCUCCACACUGACGCUGAGGCACGAAAGCGUGGGUAUCGAACAGGAUUAGAUACCCUUGUAGUC